UUUAGAAUCAGAUAUAACCUGAUCCAAACCCAAUAUGAUACUGAAAAUCAAAAAUCCGAUAUCCCAAGCCAAAUUCUAAUAGGUACAUGAAUGUCACGCCUACUUUAGUUCUUUGUUUUUUUUUCAAAAUUCAGUUCUAUAUUCUGGUAUGUAAAAGAUUGAGAAAAGUCUUGUAAGCCAUGUUAACACACAAUGAACUUGAAAAGGAUAUUAACUAUUAAAUACUUUUUUCAACCCAAAUAUUGCUUGAAAUUCUUUUGGAUGACCUUCUGAUUUCAAUCAAUUUUGUUUUAAUAUAUACCUUUAAAAUAUCCUUCAAUAUCAUAUAAUAGGUAUAUUUCGUUAAAACCUAUUCCCAAAUUUCAUAAAAUGGAACAAAAUUAUUCGUUUUGAAUCACCAAAUUUUGUUUUUUUUUCUUCUUGAAAUUAUCGAUCAAGUUUUAUAAAAAUAGAAGUUCAAAAUCUAGAGUUCUCUUGUUAUGAUAUUGUGCAUGAUUGAUUGGACUUGUAACGGUAAAAAAGUUCAUGUAGAAUUUAGUCUAUAAGAUUUUUUGAGGUAGUUUUAUCUAAUCUAGUUAUAAUAUUUAAGUGAAAGAAAAAAACUAACAACCUUUUUUUCUUCUAUAUCUUACUAAAUAAUGCUUUAGAAAUAAGAUUUAUACAAUUAUUAUUUUUUAUUUUUUAAUUGUACAUUUUCUCCAUUCACUGCUAGAAAACAUGGCUGUUAGCUUGUCUCUUUUCUCUGGCAACGUAAGAAAUGAUGAUGAAAAUCUCGGAACUCCCGGUCUGACGAUGUCUCUCCUUUUUGUGAAUGAUCUCAUCAAUGCUAAUGUUUUAUGAUGAGCAUAUAUGAAGAUCCUCAACUUUUUGGCCAUUUGAAUUGUGCUUUUGAACUUUGGAAGUCUUGAAAGGCUUUCAAGCAUCAAAUUGAUAGAGUGAGUAGCACAUGACGUCUAAAAAAAUAGUAGGCUUGAUUUCUUUCAACAUCUUUGGCUCUUUGCUGCAGCCAUAUUGUUAGUGGCAUUAUCUGUCACCACUUGAACAACAUUCUCCUCCCCAACCUCCUCAAUGCAUCUAUUGACGUACUCAAAAAUGUAGGCACCUGUAUGAGCUUCAUCUGGGCAGUCUUUAGAAGACCGGAACAUUGUUCCUCCUUUUGAAUUGAUGCACAGGUUCAUGAUACUUCUUCUCUUCUGAUAUGUCCAAGCAUCCGUCAUAAUGGUGCACCCAUUCUUCUUCAAUUCUUCUUCUUGCGGUUUCAGCAGACCAUUAAUCCUCUCAACUUCUUCCUUAAGUAAAGGCUCUCGAAGUUGGUAUUGGCUUGGUGGGGUAACUCCUGGACCAUACUUCCCUAUAGCUUCAACCAUCAAGGUAAACUCAUCGUUUGAUAUAGCAUUGAAAGGAGCACCAGAAGCAUACACCCAUCUAGAAACCCACCGAUUUGGACACCACAACCAAGACGGAGCACCGAGCAACCCCACUCUAUUAGAGUGAUGGUUUACGUUUACAAUGGUUUAGACUUAGCUUAUUCCCGUUAAGUAUUACUCUCUCUAUAUAAAGAGAAAGACGUUGUAACAGAUUCUUUUAACUUGAAUAAGAAGAAAAGUUCAUCAUCAUGUAACAAACUUUCUCUCUCGCUAAUUCAAGUAAUAUGGUGUCAGAGCGUUGAAAUUUACGUUCAACAAUCACGAUCCUGAGCUUCGAUCUUCCGCAAGAUCUUGAAACCUAAAACUCCUCCUCCACACCUUCCCCGCCAUCCUCGAACGGGAUCCUCACCUGGAAGGAGAAAUGCGGUCUCCCGCUUCUGUGUGAUGACCGUCGCUCGUUGCUCCCCUGUAGCUCGCCAGAUCCUCCCCUCCUCAUCACGGCCUUAAAGAGACCUGCACCUCACUAACACAUGACGUUGCGAAGAAAACAGGAAAAUCGAAGAACCCUCUCUCACAAGUCACAAUUCAAAAUCCAGUUUUAAUAUGAACGGAUUAGGUCUGGAACUUCCUCUCAACUGAUUCUACACAUAAUCACUCUUAAUUUCAGUUCAGAAUAUAUUGAUGUAUAUGUUUUAGUUUGUCCUAAAUUUCUUUUGUCUAUGGAGUAAAUUACUUUGGAUAUAUAUAAAUAUAUAAAGGCCACACCUUUAGAUCUCUAGCUUACGAUAAUUGACCUAAUUAUAUUGUGUUGCAGAGAAUUUCAUGGUAACAUGAAUUUGUUGCACAAGAUAUCUAGGAGACGUUCAGCUAACACGAAGAUAAGCUCUUUAUAAGUUCUCUUCUACUUGACAUGUUGCGUGAAUUAGUCUCUUCAAUUAGUUCAAAGUGAUUCUCUUCAGACUAAUCAUAAGUACAUCCCUCAUUCGACAAGUGAUAUUACUUUUGGUUGGCCUUGCAAUUUUCAGUAUCUCUUUUUCCUCUCAGUUUUCUUGAAUGCUUAAACCUCAAAGAAAAGGUUGAUAUAUACACCAUAACCAAGAGAAGGUGCAAAUCAAAGCAUGGAGUGACUGGACUCUAGGGGAUCGGACACUAAUGUGCUAUGUAGAGCUGUUCUAACGACAAGAGACAGUGAACAUCAGUGAAAUCAAAUUAAGUAAUCAGUUUUGGAUUAUUGGAAGGAUGCUUUAUGAGAGGAACUCAUGUUUGAAAGAGAUGAAGGGAGAGCAACGUUUGUGACUUGAUGGAAAAUGUGUGCUUGAUGGCAAGGCAUUGUUUUUAGUUAAAUUAUUAAUUAUUUGUUCAUUUUCAGUGUCUGCGGAUUACUAAUAAUGUUUAUAAUGAACACUGAAGGUUAGGAGGAGCACAACACAAACCAUAACAUUCUAGGAAACUACGACGAUAGUUUAAAUGAGUUUCACUUAUGUUAAUGUACAAAACGCUCAAAAUAUUUUCAUUUUAUAAAAAGAGAGACUUAUAAUUCAUACAAGCACCAAACAAAAAAUCUAAAGGUUAAGAGCAUAACACAACAAAAACAUUCAU